rnacentral:rRNA from 1 species
UACGGGGGGGGCAAGCGUUGUUCGGAAUUACUGGGCGUAAAGGGCUCGUAGGCGGCCAACUAAGUCAGACGUGAAAUCCCUCGGCUUAACCGGGGAACUGCGUCUGAUACUGGAUGGCUUGAAUCCGGGAGAGGGAUGCGGAAUUCCAGGUGUAGCGGUGAAAUGCGUAGAUAUCUGGAGGAACACCGGUGGCGAAGGCGGCAUCCUGGACCGGCAUUGACGCUGAGGAGCGAAAGCGUGGGGAGCGAUCCGG